AGCGAACGCUGGCGGCAGGCUUAACACAUGCAAGUCGAACGCUCGUAGCAAUACGGGAGUGGCAGACGGGUGAGUAACGCGUGGGAAUAUGCCUUUUGGUUCGGAAUAACUCAGGGAAACUUGAGCUAAUACCGGAUAAGCCCGUGAGGGGAAAGAUUUAUCGCCAAAAGAUUAGCCCGCGUCCGAUUAGCUAGUUGGUGAGGUAAUGGUUCACCAAGGCGACGAUCGGUAGCUGGUCUGAGAGGAUGAUCAGCCACAUUGGGACUGAGACACGGCCCAAACUCCUACGGGAGGCAGCAGUGGGGAAUAUUGGACAAUGGGCGCAAGCCUGAUCCAGCCGUGCCGCGUGAGUGAUUAAGGCCUUAGGGUUGUAAAGCUCUUUUGUCCGGGAAGAUAAUGACGGUACCGGAAGAAUAAGCCCCGGCUAACUUCGUGCCAGCCGCCGCCGUAA
rnacentral:rRNA from 1 species